rnacentral:rRNA from 1 species
CUACAAGGGUAUCUAAUCCUGUUUGCUCCCCACGCUUUCGCACCUGAGCGUCAGUCUUCGUCCAGGGGGCCGCCUUCGCCACCGGUAUUCCUCCAGAUCUCUACGCAUUUCACCGCUACACCUGGAAUUCUACCCCCCUCUACGAGACUCUAGCCUGUCAGUUUUGAAUGCAGUUCCCAGGUUAAGCCCGGGGAUUUCACAUCCAACUUAACAGACCGCCUGCGUGCGCUUUACGCCCAGUCAUUCCGAUUAACGCUUGCACCCUCCGUAUUACCGCGGCUGCUGGCAC